rnacentral:tRNA from 1 species
UGGGGAAUAGUCUAGUGGUAGGACGCGUGAUUCUGGAUCACGUAGGGUAGGUUCGAAUCCUACUUCCCCAGCCA